GCUGUCGCAAAAUCGGCAGCCGGAAUUGGCGUUCCGUGUAACUUAUUGGCGACUUCAGACGCGCUUUGCGUCUUUUUU
rnacentral:sRNA from 1 species